UGAGGAAUAUUGGUCAAUGGGCGAAAGCCUGACCCAGCAACGCCGCGUGAGGGAAGAAGGUCUUCGGAUUGUAAACCUCUGUCCUUGGGGACGAAAAAAAUGACGGUACCCAAGGAGGAAGCUCCGGCUAACUACGUGCCAGCAGCCGCGGUAAUACGUAGGGAGCGAGCGUUGUCCGGAAUUACUGGGCGUAAAGGGUGCGUAGGCGGCAUGGCAAGUCAGAUGUGAAAUCCCCGGGCUUAACUCGGGUGGUGCAUUUGAAACUGCUGUGCUUGAGUGCAGGAGAGGAAAGCGGAAUUCCUAGUGUAGCGGUGAAAUGCGUAGAUAUUAGGAAGAACACCAGUGGCGAAGGCGGCUUUCUGGACUGUAACUGACACUGAGGCACGAAAGCGUGGGGAGCAAACA
rnacentral:rRNA from 1 species